rnacentral:lncRNA from 1 species
CUACCUAUUGAAGAUAAUUUGGUAGUAUUAUCAAUUAAACGACGAUUUUUGAUGUCGACGAUAAUGUCGAAUUUGUUUAAGAAAUCAGCGCCAAUAAUUGGUUUGUUGACAUCAGCAAUUGUGAAAACAUGUAAUUAUUGGCGUACCAUUUGCAGCCGUUAAUGUAGAAAUGGUAUCUCUCUUAUGUUUACGAAAGAAUUUAUAAGGCAGCACAGAGAUGUCUGCUCCUGUAUCAAUCAGAAAAUUUAAAUUGGAUUGGUUAUCGUAAACAUAAAGACGAGAACUGAUUUGAUUAAUUAUCGGUUUUUUUGGUUCUGUGAAGAUGAUGAAAGAUUUGUGUCUUUAAAGGAAUUAUAAAACAUACAUUCUUUUUCGCAGUUUCGUGCUUUAUCGCCAUACUUGGAAUGAUAAUAACAGAUAUGGUUUUGACGUUGCCUGGAAGAACUUCUUGGACGAGGUGAUCGAUACCUUAACAUCUUACAAUUAUAGCAAAGAUUUGUUGCUAUGUCAGGUUCGUUAAGUCGAGCAGCAAGAGAGUUAAUGCUCGUCUGGAUAUUUGAUUGCCAUUGAUGAAGUUGUUGUGAGUUUUUAUCAAUAGAAACUGAAAGGUUAUUUAUGGCUUGUAACAAUUGAGAAGUUGUAUGCACAUUGGAAGAGGACUCGUCGUUAAUUUUGUUGACUUCAAUUUUAGGAAAACGAGUCGUUGAAAAAGAUAAUGAAUCCCAGAUUUUAUCGGCUAUGUUAAGCAAAUCAUUGAUCUCAUCUUUACCUGAAGACAAUAACGCUACCGAGAUAGUUUGGGGCAAUCUUCUCUGCCAAAGUUUUAGCAAUAAAUUUGGACUUACGACUUGCGAUCCACCGACUGUCGAUAACAUACUCCUAUAGAAAUCAGAUGGUUUUUGAUCUCCCAUCUGAGAGCCGGAAAGGAGAUCAUCAAGACGUUUCUCUUCACUUAGAGAAAGCCUAUUGAUCAAAGUGUUUUUUAAGUAUAAGUAUGAAUCGAUAUCCGGUGGAGCAUCUACGACGUCGUAAACAAUCGAAACUAUCUCGGUUGAAUUGCGCUUCAAUUUGGUGAAACCAUGCAGCAGGAUUUGCAUUCCAGAAGGGAGGCAAUCUAAUAUUGGUGACAAUGUCAACGCUUUGAUCACCAGAAGUAUUCAUGAUUGUGGUUUCGUCUCUAAAAAUCCGGAUGUAGACUCGUGGAUGGUCGCUGGAUAGGUAUCACCAAGUCGUUGUGGAAAAAUAGCAGGCUCGGUCACUGGUGCGAGGUUGGGGAGAAUUGGAUGAAGAAAACGACGAAGACAAUUCUAAUUUACGUCAAAUCUUUCACUUCUUUCUCCAAAACGUCGGGUUCUUAUUGGUUCUUAUAACUUAACGUUGGGUUACUUCUUUUUCGAUGUCGGGUUAGUUCUUGUUCGGGGUCACCAAUUUGUGGGACAAUUUAAAAAGAGAGUAAAACCAAUUUGCGUUACAACGUGACUUG